ACGAACGCUGGCGGCGUGCCUGAUACCUGCAAGUAGAACGCACAGUUUAUACCGUAGCUUGCUACACCAUAGACUGUGAGUUGCGAACGGGUGAGUAACGCGUAGGUAACCUGCCUGGUAGCGGGGGAUAACUAUUGGAAACGAUAGCUAAUACCGCAUAAUAUUAAUUAUUGCAUGAUAAUUAAUUGAAAGGUGCAAUUGCACCACUACCAGAUGGACCUGCGUUGUAUUAGCUAGUAGGUGAGGUAACGGCUCACCUAGGCGACGAUACAUAGCCGACCUGAGAGGGUGAUCGGCCAAACUGGGACUGAGACACGGCCCAGACUCCUACGGGAGGCAGCAGUAGGGAAUCUUCGGCAAUGGACGAAAGUCUGACCGAGCAACGCCGCGUGAGUGAAGAAGGGUUUCGGAUCGUAAAGCUCUGUUGUAAGAGAAGAACGGGUGUGAGAGUGGAAAGUUCACACUGUGACGGUAUCUUACCAGAAAGGGACGGCUAACUACGUG
rnacentral:rRNA from 1 species